rnacentral:rRNA from 1 species
UUCUGUGGGGACGGAGCGGCCGGCCGCAACUUGCGGUUCGAGCUAGCGCUUUCCCUACAUCCUGCCGCGAACCGUGCUACCAUUAGUUUGGUGGCGCCGGGGAUCGGCUCGUUUACUUUGAGAAAAAUAGAGUGUUCAAAGCAGGCCACACGCCUUGAAUAAGUUAGCAUGGAAUAAUAAUAAAGGACUUCGGUUCUAUUUUGUUGGUGUUCGGGACUGAAGUAAUGAUUGAUAGGGACAGUUGGGGCGGUCAGUAUUCCAAAGCGAGAGGUGAAAUUCUUAGACCUUCGGAAGACUAACAGCUGCGAAAGCGUUCCGCAAGGAUGUUCCCUUUGAUCAAGAACGAAAGUUGGGGGAUCGAAGACGAUCAGAUACCGUCGUAGUCUCAACUAUAAACUAUACCAGCUAGGGAUCGGCCAACGUUAAAUUAUUCGACUUGGUCGGCACCUUAUGAGAAAUCAAAGCAUCUGGGUUCCGGGGGGAGUAUGGUCGCAAGGCUGAAACUUAAAGGAAUUGACGGAAGGGCACCACCAGCCGUGGAGCCUGUGGCUUAAUUUGACUCAACACGGGAAAACUUACCAGGUCCAGACAUAGUAAGGAUUGACAGAUUGAUAGCUCUUUCUUGAUUCUGUGGGUGGUGGUGCAUGGCCGUUCUUAGUUGGUGGAGUGAUUUGUCUGGUUAAUUCCGUUAACGAACGAGACCCCAGCCUGCUAAAUAGCGUGGUUGAGCUUUGCUCGGCGCAAGCUUCUUAGAGGGACUAUGAUGCGCGAUAGCACAUGGAAGUUUGGGGCAAUAACAGGUCUGUGAUGCCCUUAGAUGUUCUGGGCCGCACACGGGCUACACUGGCGCCUGCAACGAGCAUAUCAGCUGGCCCGAGAGGGUCUUGGCUAAUCUUUUGAACCGGCGCCGUGCUUGGGAUUGACCAUUGCAAUUGUUGGUCAUGCAACGAGGAAUGCCUUGUAAACGCGAGUCAUCAACUCGCAUUGAAUACGUCCCUGCCCUUUGUACACACCGCCCGUCGCUCUACGAUGAUGUCCGAUGAAAUUUUCGGA